CAUUGUAGCUAGUCUGAGCCCAAGCCCACUCUCUGUCUGUUUCUUCUCCUCUCCCGAUUCCCACCCACAUCGCCGCCGCCGCCUCACCCACCGGCCACCUCGUCGCCGUGCUACCCACAGCCGCCCACCCUCCCUGCCCUCCCCUCACCACCUUCUCUCCCUUGGCGGAAGGAUCCCCUUCGACUCCCGUCGCCAUUCCUGACGACCCCGAAAUCUCCUCUCCUCGAGUUCAGAUCCGCACCACUCCAACCUACAGACGAUGGCGUCGGCGAGGCUGGCCCCGAACGGCGUGGGGGCGGCGCUGGCGGGGGACACGAACCUCAAGCCCGUCGCGCACAUCUUCGCCGGGCAACUCAGCUACCUCCGCGGCACCGUCGUGCAGCUCGUCGAGUAGGACGGAGAUGCUCCUCCACAGUCGCUGCUGCACCGGGAGAGGAGGAGUUGGCGGCCACUCCUCCCGACGACGAGAUGCGUGGCUGGCUGCUCCCCCUCUCUCGCCCAUCUCCUCCUCACCGCCGACCUCGGCCCCAGCAAGCUCCACCCUCCAACGCAGGGACCUUAACACUUGUAUGUAAGCGUGGAGAGAGUUUGAUGGUGAUCAGGGGGUGGUAGUACAUUUGUAGCUGUAGCCAACACUUGGUUUUGUAUUUGGCACAAGUGGAGAGGUGCGUCGAUGACCCGUUGAUAUUCAGUUGCUGGGCAUCGUCCCCGUCAUGGCAUCCGUCUUCCAGCACACCAACGAGUGGUCCUCGCAGACGAUAUUGAUGAGGGCAUGCUUUCUGGUGCUUCUGCUUGUGGCCAGACAUGUGGUACGUACCUGCACCCGCGCGCUCCCUUUCUUCAAUUGUCACAAUGACCGGCGCUGAUCGCCUGCUGUCCUACGCGCGAAAAACACCAAAUGCUACUUAGGAGUACAUACCAGGAGCAUGAGAUGGCCAAAGUUGUUCUGGAUCUCAGUGUGUGCUCCCUUGGCGUCCGUCAUCGUAUCCACCCUGCUCGUCUUCCUGUUCAAAGCGCAGAACCAUGCCAUCAGCAUCGUAGGAGAACAACAAAGACUGAGCUUCCGCCGCAGAUUAGGUCACUUAAAUGUGGCUUGAAUUGCCCCUCGUGGGACAAACUGCUCUUCGAUCUGACAUAUCUUGGACUUGCCAUGAAGACCGGCCUCGCCUCGUCACCGGAAUCAUCUCCCCUACAGAAGGAGUAGCAGUCGGUAUUUGCUUCAAUCAAGGACUACCAGGUGGAUGGCAACAAAGAGAUGAUGGCCACUGGGUUGAUGAGCAUUGUGGGCUCAUCUCCAGGAGAGGUGCGUCGAUGACCCGUCGAUAUUCAGUUGCUGAAGAAGGAAAGAUGGUGGCGAGUAGCAAGACGAAAUCAUUCACGGCUUAGUUAGUUUGUCAUGGUGUCAGAAUAGCUGAGUUGCUGUCGUGUUCAAUUUUUGUUGUGGAACAUAUCUCUCGCAGUUGGUAGUCUUGACUUUUUGUUCAUCACAAUCCUUAUUCGUCCAUUGCCAUAUAACUCUUUUAUACUGUUAUGCUGCUGGAAAUUUUAGCCAGAAAAUGGCCCAGA